CACACGAUGCAGGGUCCUGAGCGAAAGCAAAAAAAAUAAAAAAUCCUCAAGCCUCACCGAAAGUUCUGGAGGCAGUCCGCCUGGAUACCUCCACCUCCUCGCGCUCCUUUCCGCCGCCCCUUCAGCUGCCUCCCCCCUCCUCCGGCCUCCCGCCUUCCUCCUCCACCACGACAAGCCCCCACCCUCGCGAAGGACAUCACAAGCAGCAGCACGGCGCCGCCUACUGUCCGGAUCUAUGUCUACGACCUGCGCUGCUUCAACCGCGACUGGCUCACCGCCGACCCGCGGUGCGUGCGCCAUCUCUUCGCCGCCCAUGCGUUUGGUCUACUCGCCCACGCCGUCGAACUCAUGCGCCGGUGGCGCCCUGUUGGAACCGCUCUGCCCGGCGCCGACCACGUCUUCGUCGCGUCCCACGACUUCGGCGCAUGCGUCCACCCCAUAGCGAGUGUCUGCCGCUCUGGCAUUUGCUAAUCCUGCUGUUUUCGCUGCUUGGUGGUCGCGUAUGGGUUAGAUCAGGCGGCGUGCAAGGGCGGGGUGGCACAACGGGGUUAAUUGUUGUUCCUGCUUUGUUCUUAGAGUAAAGUCACGGUGAGGGGGUGGGAAGGUGUUUCAGUAAAGGAAGGAAUCAUGAACCUUCUCUUGAUCUACAUGCCUAGCACACGAAAAUAGCAUCUCAUCUAAAAAUACAAAAACCUUCCCCACAUCUAGCAAAGAGCGGCGGCGCCCAGGGCGACGAGCUCCAGAGCCGCAGCUCCACCGGUCUCCUCCGGCUUCCUCCUCCUGGUUCGUCGUCGAUCCCCUCCCAACCCCGACGGGGUCCUGUGCCUUUGGCGAUCCAUCGAUCUGGCGCUGUUGAAGAUCCCUUCAGGUAGACGGUUGGUUUUGGAGACAGAGAGGGCGGAGCUGCGCGCAGCGCACCAUCUCAGCGACUGCUGUGCUGGCUCAAGAUCGGAACCGGGCGAAUGUGUCUCUUGUUUAGUUUGCUCUCUCUUGCUUGUUGUGUAGCUUGCUGCUCUGUUUAUAUGAAAAAAAAUUAAUGGUUGAAUUGCAUGCUGCUUGACGGGUGUCCCAUUAGCGGUGCUAUAGGUGGCACCUAAACUGUGUACGUGUUCAAACUUGGUGCUAUAGGUGGCACACUACGUGUCGAAACCUUCAUGGUCCACACCGUUUUUGUUUUAUUGCAGGAUCUAAGCAAGCCGGUUAAGAGGCGGCAUGUUUAUCUUU